UAUGUAGGGGGCGAGCGUUGUCCGGAUUUAUUGGGCGUAAAGAGCUCGUAGGCGGCUUGGCAAGUCGGGUGUGAAACCUCCAGGCUCAACCUGGAGACGCCACUCGAUACUGCCAUGGCUAGAGUCCGGUAGGGGACCACGGAAUUCCUGGUGUAGCGGUGAAAUGCGCAGAUAUCAGGAGGAACACCGGUGGCGAAGGCGGUGGUCUGGGCCGGCACUGACGCUGAGGCGCGAAAGCGUGGGGAGCAAACGGG
rnacentral:rRNA from 1 species